UACGUAGGGGGCAAGCGUUGUCCGGAUUUAUUGGGCGUAAAGAGCGUGUAGGCGGCCAUACAGGUCAGCUGUGAAAACUCGAGGCUCAACCUCGAGACGUCGGUUGAAACCGUAUGGCUAGAGUCCGGAAGAGGAGAGUGGAAUUCCCGGUGUAGCGGUGAAAUGCGCAGAUAUCGGGAAGAACACCCGUGGCGAAGGCGGCGAUCUGGGUUGAUACUGACGCUGAGGUGCGAAAGCGUGGGGAGCAAACAGG
rnacentral:rRNA from 1 species